AGAUAUGAGCCCCGACUUCAACUCAUCUUGCACGUACCCCUUUAUGAAAGUGAAAAUGUAACAGGCCAAAUCUCUUAUCCCUGUCUGAAACAAUACUGAAAGAUGAAAUAGCAUACUACUCUGAUUCAUAUGUCAUGGAAAAUUAGUGAAUUUGGAAAUGAGCAAAUACAAAUUUGAAUGUUUUUUUUUUUAACAUUCCAGGGAGAUCGUGGAAAGGAUGGGCACAAAUACCCAGGCCCUAGAGGCAUACAGGGAGACAGAGGAGAAUCUGGUUUGCCAGGACUUCAGGGCCCAAGAGGAUUCUUUGGGGAGAAAGGAACACAAGGACCAAAUGGACCCAACGGACAACCAGUAUGUGUAGUAGACAAAAAAAUUUGGACGCUGUGAUUAUUUGUUGGAAUUGGCAAAAAAAAGUGGCG
ensembl:lncRNA